rnacentral:lncRNA from 1 species
UUUAGGGUCACACAGAACCUUUUUCUUUUCCCUUUAUUAUUUAUUUUUAUUUUUUAAUCGGAUAACGAAACCGGACGGAUUGAACAAAAUAAUGCUCUCUCUCAAAGAGAGAAAGAAAGAGCAAAUCAGAAGAGUCGCCACCGAAUUUUAUUUAAUUUACUUGUAAGAGAGGAGAGGGAAAAUAGUCGAUAAAACUUUCAAAAGAAAAAAAGAAAAGGAUAGGGAAUCGGUCUCGC